UACGUAGGGUGCAAGCGUUGUCCGGAAUUAUUGGCGUAAAGAGCUACGUAGGCGGUUUGUCGCGUCGAAUGUGAAAACCCGGGGCUCAACCCCGGGCCUGCAUUCGAUACGGGCAGACUAGAGUUCGGUAGGGGAGUCUGGAAUUCCUGGUGUAGCGGUGAAAUGCGCAGAUAUCAGGAGGAACACCGGUGGCGAAGGCGGACUCUGGGCCGAUACUGACGCUGAGGAGCGAAAGCGUGGGGAGCAAACAG
rnacentral:rRNA from 1 species